rnacentral:rRNA from 49 species
CACACGACUCUCGGCAACGGAUAUCUCGGCUCUCGCAUCGAUGAAGAACGUAGCGAAAUGCGAUACCUGGUGUGAAUUGCAGAAUCCCGCGAACCAUCGAGUCUUUGAACGCAAGUUGCGCCCGAGGCCAUUCGGCCGAGGGCACGCCUGCCUGGGCGUCACGC